AUUGAACGCUAGCGGGAUGCCUUACACAUGCAAGUCGAACGGAGUGGCGAACGGGUGAGUAAUGUAACGGAACGUGCCCAGUAGCGGGGGAUAACUACGCGAAAGCGUAGCUAAUACCACAUCCUCUUGGAGCGGCCGGUAUCGGAUUAGCUAGUGGGUGGGGUAACGGCUCAGCAAGGCGACGAUCCGGAGCUGGUUUGAGAGGACGACCAGCCACACUGGAACUGAGACACGGCCCAGACUCCUACGGGAGGCAGCAGUGGGGAAUUUUGGACAAUGGGGGAAACCCUGAUCCAGCCAUCCCGCGUGUGCGAUGAAGGCCUUCGGGUUGUAAAGCACUUUUGGCAGGAAAGCGGUACCUGCAGAAGAAGCACCGGCUAACUACGUGCCAGCCGCCGCGGUAAUUC
rnacentral:rRNA from 1 species